UCUUGGUCAUUUAGAGGAAGUAAAAAGUUGUAACCAAGGGUCUCCGUUGGUGAACCAGCGGAGGGAUCAUUACCGAGUUUACAACUCCCAAACCCCUGUGAACAUACCACUUGUUGCCUCGGCGGAUCAGCCCGCUCCCGGUAAAACGGGACGGCCCGCCAGAGGACCCCUAAAACUCUGUUUCUAUAUGUAACUUCUGAGUAAAACCAUAAAUAAAUCAAAACUUUCAACAACGGAUCUCUUGGUUCUGGCAUCGAUGAAGAACGCAGCAAAAUGCGAUAAGUAAUGUGAAUUGCAGAAUUCAGUGAAUCAUUGAAUCUUUGAACGCACAUUGCGCCCGCCAGUAUUCUGGCGGGCAUGCCUGUUCGAGCGUCAUUUCAACCCUCAAGCACAGCUUGGUGUUGGGACUCGCGUUAAUUCGCGUUCCUCAAAUUGAUUGGCGGUCACGUCGAGCUUCCAUAGCGUAGUAGUAAAACCCUCGUUACUGGUAAUCGUCGCGGCCACGCCGUUAAACCCCAACUUCUGAAUGUGACCUCGGAUCAGGUAGGAAUACCCGCUGAACUUAAGCAUAUCAAUAAGCGGAGAAA
rnacentral:rRNA from 1 species